UGAUGAGAUUAGUACAGAUUUCCUCAGGGGACCCCACAAGGGGCCCCGACCCCAUGUUUGGGAACCACUGUACUAACCCCUCAUGCUUGUUUCCUCUGCUUUACCAGCCUUCAGCCACACCACUGAUCACCAUGCCACUGUCUGUCUCGGUAGCCUAUGAGAAGUUAGUAAUGUAUUUCUUACUCAGUUUAACGUUAGCUUCUCCUUCAUCCUAGCUGGCUAAGUAAUACUUGCCAGGAACCUUCAACAUUACUGCAAUAGAAGUCUCUGGUGGCAGAUAAAGAUGGUGAUACAGCAUUGAAAAAGACCCACCACAUCCCUCAGGCCAUCCGGUGCAUGGACAUCUUGUGCCAGUGUGAUCCAGCACGAGAGUCAGUUGUAGAGGCUACAGCCGAUCGAGCAUGUGGACAGACAGGUCAGUAACUCAUCAAAUGUGACAGCCAAUCGAGCAUGUGGACGGACAGACAUGAGGCAUGACAUGCAGAACAUCUUCAGGCUCCCCCCAUGAGAAGCAGUGCAUGAUGUUCAAUGCCACCCUCCUUAAGGAGAUCUGGUGGAAGUAAUGGCUCUCCCAUUCUUAGAUGUAUUCUCUCUCUCUUGCUCUCUGUCUAGUUAAGCAGUCCAGAUGAUUUCCGUAGGGUGUCCUAUCCAACUCUACUUACUUCUUAUUUGGACUCCAAUGGAAACAUUGAAGUUUCAGGCAUCUCCACCAUGGCACAAUUCCAGAAUGUUCUCACUGAGGUGCAUCUUGUGGGCUAAAUGUUUUUCCCAUACAAACCACAAAAACUGUUUUGUUUUACGAAUGCAUCUGUGGUACAGUACAGACAAUCCGACAACCACUGUUGGU
ensembl:lncRNA